GGCCUGAUGGUCUAGUAGUAUGAUUCCUUGUUAGGGCUGUAAAAGCAAUAUCGAGGAGGUCCCGGGUUCAAUUCCCGGUCAGGCCC